rnacentral:rRNA from 1 species
AUUGAACGCUGGCGGCAUGCCUUACACAUGCAAGUCGAACGGCAGCACGGGAGCAAUCCUGGUGGCGAGUGGCGAACGGGUGAGUAAUAUAUCGGAACGUGCCCAGUAGUGGGGGAUAGCCCGGCGAAAGCCGGAUUAAUACCGCAUGAGACCUGAGGGUGAAAGCGGGGGAUCGCAAGACCUCGCGCUAUUGGAGCGGCCGAUAUCAGAUUAGCUAGUUGGUGGGGUAAAGGCCCACCAAGGCAACGAUCUGUAGUUGGUCUGAGAGGACGACCAGCCACACUGGGACUGAGACACGGCCCAGACUCCUACGGGAGGCAGCAGUGGGGAACUUUGGACAAUGGGCGCAAGCCUGAUCCAGCAAUGCCGCGUGCAGGAAGAAGGCCUUCGGGUUGUAAACUGCUUUUGUCAGGGAAGAAAUCCUCUGGGCUAAUACCUCGGGGGGAUGACGGUACCUGAAGAAUAAGCACCGGCUAACUACGUGCCAGCCGCCGCCGUAAAAC